ensembl:ncRNA F20B10.5 ncRNA
CCGCGCGGGUAUUGUGGUGGCAGAGAGCCGAACAAAAUAGUGCACCAGAUGCACACAAAACAGACGGGAAGAAAGGGGGUGGGGCUCAGGAGAGAGGAAGUGGGUGUGUUCUUCUUCACCAAGAGAGAGAGAGAGAGUGACCUCUUUGAAGACACACCCCGUGUGCACCAAGAAAACAAUUUGUAACUUCUGUUCUUCUA